CAGCCUUGGUCCACGCGAGCUGGGCGCGGCCGGCUGCGGUGCCGGCGGGAGGAGGAAGAGGUUGCUUAUCCCAGGGGACUCCCGGCGUCCGGCGGCGCUCCGGCGAGGCGCGGCGUGAGGAUUGGGUCGCGAUCCGGGAAUUUCUAAAAACGCCCCUGAAUAUUUUCUAAUAGCCCCCUAAUUUGGAUCGCGACUAUUAAUCGCAAUCCGAAUAUUUAUAAAGUACCCCCAAAAUUUUUCAUACAGACCCCUAAUUUGGAUCGCGAUUAUUGAUCGCGAUCCGAAUAUUUGCAACAUGCCCCUAUAUAUUUUCAUAUUGCC
rnacentral:lncRNA from 1 species